ensembl:miRNA
GUGUUUUGUGGGCCUGAUCCAAAGCCCAUUGAAGUCAACUGAAGUUUUUGUACUGACUUCAGGUGCUUUGAAUCAAAUCCCCUAUUCACAGU